rnacentral:misc_RNA from 1 species
AACGCACCUUGCGCUCCUUGGUAUUCCGAGGAGCAUGCCUGUUUGAGUGUCGUGAAAUCAUCAACUCCUUUGCUUUAUUGUGAAGUGAGCUUGGAUUUGGAGACUGCUGGUGCAAAUCAGCUUCUCUUGAAUGCAUUAGCUGGAAUUCAGUUUGCAGCAUAUAUGCGGUGUGAUAAUGUCGUCACUGCGUAGCUGGUAUUCUGUCUGGCUUCUAAUCGUCCUUUACUUGGACAACUUGAUCAUUCUGACCUCAAAUCAGGUAGGACUACCCGCUGAACUUAA